AAUUUGUGUGACGUUAAAUCCGUUGGAAAACGGUGCCAUGGAGAGUGAAAGUCUCGUAUGAGUCAUCACAUUUUCUACUCAAUCACUCCUUCAAAGAGUCGAGUUGUUUGGGAAUGCAGCUCAAAAUGGGACGUAAAUUUGUUCCAAAGCUAAAUACCGGCUAGAGACCGAUAGCGCACAAGUAGAGUGAUCGAAAGAUGAAAAGCACUUUGAAAAGAGAGUUAAACAGCACGUGAAAUUGUUGAAAGGGAAGCUUAUGUCAUCAGAUUUGAUGUGUCAUGUUCAGCCUUUUGGUCAAUUCAUGAUAUAUCAAGCUAGCAUCAAUUGGGAUAGUGAGAUAAAAAUGUCGGAAAUGUAGUUUUCUCCGGAAAAUCUUAUAGACCGAUAU
rnacentral:rRNA from 1 species